rnacentral:rRNA from 1 species
UGAAUACGAGAUGCUACGGCGUCGAAGCAGUCUAUGUCAUACUUCCAAGAAAAGCUCGCACUGUCAUAAACAAAUAAUGCCUGUACCAUAACCGACACAGGUGGGUAGGUAGAGUAUACUAAGGGGCGCGAGAUAACUCUCUCUAAGGAACUCGGCAAAAUGACUCCGUAACUUCGGGAGAAGGAGUGCCUUAUUUAUAAGGUUGCAAUAACAAGAUCCAAGCAACUGUUUAUCAAAAACACAGGUCUCCGCUAAGUCGUAAGACGAUGUAUGGGGGCUGACGCCUGCCCAGUGCCAGAAGGUUAAAGAAGUUGGUUAGCAUUCGCGAAGCUGAUAACUGAAGCCCUGGUGAACGGCGGCCGUAACAAUAACGGUCCUAAGGUAGCGAAAUUCCUUGUCGGGUAAGUUCCGACCCGCACGAAAGGCGUAAUGAUUUGGAUACUGUCUCGGAGAGGGGCUCGGUGAAAUAGACUUGUCUGUGAAGAUGCGGACUACCUGCACCAGGACAGAAAGACCCUAUGAAGCUUUACUGUAACUUGAGAUUGAAAUUGGACUUUACUUGCGCAGUAUAGGUGGGAGGCGUUGAUAAUAUUCUUGCGGGAUUAUUUGAGCCAUCAGUGAGAUACCACUCUUGUAAUGUUAGAUUUCUAACUUUGUAUCAUUAUCUGGUCAAAGGACAGUUUCAGGCGGGCAGUUUGACUGGGGCGGUCGCCUCCUAAACGGUAACGGAGGCGCACAAAGGUUUCCUCUGAACGGGUAGAAAUCGUAUCUAGAGUGUAAAGGCAUAAGGAAGCUUGACUGUGAGACCUACAUGUCGAGCAGGGACGAAAGUCGGUCUUAGUGAUCUGACGGUGCUGAGUGGAAAGGCCGUCACUCAACGGAUAAAAGUUACUCUAGGAUAACAGGCUGAUCUCCCCCAAGAGUUCACAUCGACGGGGAGGUUUGGCACCUCGAUGUCGGCUCAUCGCAUCCUGGGGCGGUAGUACGUCCCAAGGGUUGGGCUGUUCGCCCAUGAAAGCGGUACGCGAGCUGGGUUCAGAACGUCGUGAGACAGUUCGGUCCAUAUCCGGUGUAGGCGUUAGAAUAUUGAGAGGAGCCUUCUUUAGUACGAGAGGACCGAGAAGGACAUACCUCUGGUGUACCAGUUAUCGUGCCAACGGUAAACGCUGGGUAGCUAUGUAUGGAGUGGAUAACCGCUGAAAGCAUCUAAGUGGGAAGCCCACCUCAAGAUAAG